rnacentral:rRNA from 1 species
CCUACGGGGGGCUUCAGUAAGGAAUAUUGGUCAAUGGACGCAAGUCUGAACCAGCCAUGCCGCGUGGAGGAUGAAGGUCCUCUGGAUUGUAAACUUCUUUUAUUUGGGAAGAAACUCCCGAUUUCCAUCGGGAUUGACGGUACCAGAUGAAUAAGCACCGGCUAACUCCGUGCCAGCAGCCGCGGUAAUACGGAGGGUGCAAGCGUUAUCCGGAUUAACGGGGCGUAAAGGGGCAGGUGGGUGGCAGGUAAAAUCUCCGGGCUUAACCCGGAAACUGCCAUUGAUACUAUUUGUCUUGCAUACUCUGGAGGUGAGCGGAAUAUGUCAUGUAGCGGUGAAAUGCUUAGAUAUGACAUAGAACACCCAUUGCGAAGGCAGCUCACUACGGAAAUAUUGACGCUGAGGCACGAAAGCGUGGGGAUCAAACAGGAUUAGAUACCCUGGUAGUC